rnacentral:rRNA from 1 species
GUGGGGAAUCUUCCGCAAUGGACGAAAGUCUGACGGAGCAACGCCGCGUGAGUGAUGAAGGCCUUCGGGUUGUAAAGCUCUUUCGGGUGUGAAAAUGAUGAUGGUAACACCAGAAGAAGCCCCGGCUAACUCCGUGCCAGCAGCCGCGGUAAUACGGAGGGGGCUAGCGUUGUUCGGAAUUACUGGGCGUAAAGCGCACGUAGGCGGCUAUUCAAGUCAGGGGUGAAAUCCCGGGGCUCAACCUCGGAACUGCCUUUGAAACGGGAUGGCUAGAAUCCUGGAGAGGCGAGUGGAAUUCCGAGUGUAGAGGUGAAAUUCGUAGAUAUUCGGAAGAACACCAGUGGCGAAGGCGACUCGCUGGACAGGUAUUGACGCUGAGGUGCGAAAGCGUGGGGAGCAAACAGGAUUAGAUACCCUUGUAGUCC